rnacentral:rRNA from 1 species
AUUGAACGCUGGCGGCAGGCCUAACACAUGCAAGUCGAACGAGUGGCGGACGGGUGAGUAAUGUCUGGGAAACUGCCCGAUGGAGGGGGAUAACUACUGGAAACGGUAGCUAAUACCGCAUACCAUCGGAUGUGCCCAGAUGGGAUUAGCUAGUAGGUGGGGUAACGGCUCACCUAGGCGACGAUCCCUAGCUGGUCUGAGAGGAUGACAAGACACACUGGAACUGAGACACGGUCCAGAAGACUACGGGAGGCAGGAGGGGGGAAUAUUGAGCGAAGGGCGAUAGACGGAGGGAGCCAAGCCACGUGUAGGAAGAAGGGGUUCGGGGUGUAAAGGAAUAUCCGUGAGGAGGCGGUAGUCGCAGAAGAAGGACCGGCGAACCCCGGGCCAGCAGCCGCGGUAAUUC